rnacentral:lncRNA from 1 species
AGUUUCCUAACUUUUCCAUAUAAUGUUUCACACCCAUCUUGUACCUAACCUACCCAGCCCUGGAGUCCACCAGAUGUUUGAAGGGCUCUAGUUUUUGUAGUGUGAAAAUGUUACCAAGGAACAAUAUCUGGGUACAAGGUAGGCUUAUUGCUGUCGAGUGUCUUUGCUUCUAACCCUGUUAGGGGUCAGAGCUGGGAAAUACGUGCAUGUACACAUACACACCUCUGUGUAAGCAUACAUACAUGUAAGUGUGUGUGUGUGUGUGUGUGUAUAUAUAUAUAUGCACAUAUACAUGCAUAUAUGUGCGUGUAUAAAACAGACAAGUCCCACAAUGUCCUUUCUCUUCCUGUUAUCCCCACCCCUUGUACAUGACAGUGAUGUUCUAAGGUGGUCUCUCACCAGCUCCUGGAGCCACUUCUGCACAUCUCUUCCCAGCUCUGUGUUUAGUGACAUCAUGCGCAUCCCUGGAGUCGCUCUGUACCAGGGUGGAGUGAUCGUCCUCAUUCUUCCUUUUGCUUCCUCUGCUGCCCAGUGCUGCGUCCUCGUCUGGGUUUCAUGAUGGUGGGAUGAUGACGUAGUUUACGAUAUUUUGCAGUUACACCCAGUGCAGUGAUAUUUUUAUCUGUGGCAUCCUCCUGUAGUCUCAGCAUUUUGGGAGGCUGAAGAUGAGAGGGUUGCUUGAGGCCAGGAGUUCAAGACAAACCUAGGCAACAUAGCAACCCUGUCUCUCCAAAAAAAAAAAAAAAAAA